GCUGUGAUGGCCGAGUGGUUAAGGCGUUGGGCUAGAAAUCCAAUGGGGUCUCCCCGCACAGGUUCAAAUCCUGGUCACAGCG
rnacentral:tRNA from 1 species